rnacentral:rRNA from 1 species
GAUGAACGCUGGCGGCGUGCCUAAUACAUGCAAGUCGAGCGAACGGACGAGAAGCUUGCUUCUCUGAUGUUAGCGGCGGACGGGUGAGUAACACGUGGAUAACCUACCUAUAAGACUGGGAUAACUUCGGGAAACCGGAGCUAAUACCGGAUAAUAUUUUGAACCGCAUGGUUCAAAAGUGAAAGACGGUCUUGCUGUCACUUAUAGAUGGAUCCGCGCUGCAUUAGCUAGUUGGUAAGGUAACGGCUUACCAAGGCAACGAUGCAUAGCCGACCUGAGAGGGUGAUCGGCCACCACGGAACUGAGACACGGUCCAGACUCCUACGGGAGGCAGCAGUAGGGAAUCUUCCGCAAUGGGCGAAAGCCUGACGGAGCAACGUCGCGUGAGUGAUGAAGGUCUUCGGAUCGUAAAACUCUGUUAUUAGGGAAGAACAUAUGUGUAAGUAACUGUGCACAUCUUGACGGUACCUAAUCAGAAAGCCACGGCUAACUACGUG